rnacentral:rRNA from 1 species
UGCUGGGUUGGAUGAGUGGCGAACGGGUGAGUAACACGUGAGUAACCUGCCCCCUUCUUUGGGAUAACGGUCGGAAACGGCUGCUAAUACCGGGUAUUCACUGUCCUUCGCAUGGGGGGUGGUGGAAAGGUUUUUUCUGGUGGGGGAUGGGCUCGCGGCCUAUCAGCUUGUUGGUGGGGUGAUGGCUUACCAAGGCUUUGACGGGUAACCGGCCUGAGAGGGUGACCGGUCACAUUGGGACUGAGAUACGGCCCAGACUCCUACGGGAGGCAGCAGUGGGGAAUAUUGCACAAUGGGCGAAAGCCUGAUGCAGCGACGCCGCGUGAGGGAUGACGGCCUUCGGGUUGUAAACCUCUUUCGCUCAUGGUCAAGCCGCAACAGUGGUUGUGGUGAGGGUAGUGGGUAAAGAAGCACCGGCUAACUACGUGCCAGCAGCCGCGGUAAUACGUAGGGUGCGAGCGUUGUCCGGAAUUAUUGGGCGUAAAGGGCUUGUAGGCGGUUUGUCGCGUCUGCCGUGAAAUCCUCUGGCUUAACUGGGGGCGUGCGGUGGGUACGGGCAGGCUUGAGUGCGGUAGGGGAGACUGGAACUCCUGGUGUAGCGGUGGAAUGCGCAGAUAUCAGGAAGAAC